GACACAGCAGAUCGAUCUCCGCCGCCGCCCGAUCGCACGCCCGAACCACUCCUACCCCAUCGGCCCCGUCGGAUCUCGCCGCUGGCGGACGACUCGAGAAGACCCCGCCGGAUCUCGCCCUCGUCGUCAGUUCUGGAUCGCCGCCGCCGCCGAUCCCCUCCGGAAAACAACGCCGAUCCCCUGCUCGCCCACGCACGCAGCCGCGGAUGGAGGCCGCCUGCUCGCGAUCCCCAAACCUGCUGGCGCCGCACUCCGUAGGAUCCAAGUACGCCCCUCUCCGUGGUGUUCACUGAUUGCUUGGAGCAACAACGUGCUGUUGGAGUUGCCGAAGCAUUAGGUGAUUCGAUUGUGUGCGUUUGCUGGAUUUGUUUGACGAAGGAAAGAUGACGAUGAAGGACACACAGAGGAGUGUGAGCGGUGAUGGUACCAAGGUUACCGGCAGGUAUGCAUGCAGGAACUGACUGUACAGUGUUCCUAUAAUGCUACUGGUUUUAACGUCUGUAUUGUGAUGCUACUGGCAGUUUAAAUAAAUCUGCUAUCAUUUGGGAUGUGAGUUGUCACAACUCGCUGUGCUCUGGUGUUCAGCUCAGAAUUUCUUUUGGGAAUGAUUCCUCUGAAUAGACUACUUAUGCUUGACAUUCUACUUUUGUUAUUUCUAUUUGUAACUCAAUUUCGGUAUCCUCACAAAUUGACAAUACUUUUUCUGGAUAUGGUAGUUGAGAAUAGUUAUGGUAUAUAGCGGAGUUAGCCCAUCCUCACCAAUGACUCUUCCUCAGGGAUUUGCUGAACUAUAGUUAGUAAUGGGGGUAUUGCAGACUGUUUAGAAUUAUGGGGGUAUUGCAGACUUUAGAAACUGAAUUAGAUUUUUGUGCAAUUGAAAAAGGUGUAUACAACUUGAAUUUAUUAGGUAGUAUAGGAGAGAUAUGAAAUUUUAAAAUUGUUAGUCAGAUUUGUGUGUUGUUUUGGGUAGUAUUCAGUUUUGUUCCAUCUUAGAGGCCAAUAAUUCACAUGUGAUAUUAUCUACAUAAUUCAGUUUAUACGGCUUCCCAUAUUCCAAUGGUUGUAUUUUGCUAAAUUGCCAUCUACUUACUGGAAUUCUCACAAAUAGAAGUGCAGUCAGAAGGUAAAAAGGAUGGUAUGGUAUGUCUCCAUUCACAUGGUACUGAACUGUUAGUGAUUCUUUGUGUUAUUCUGCAGACUUGAACUUAGUUUCUAUGGUUUUCUUUUUCUGUUCAUAGACGAGAGUAUAGUCUGAAGGGAAAAAUUGGUAUGCUCUGAAGGGUGUGCAAGAACAGUGAGAUUUAUAUUACUGAAUGUAUUGUUAACAAUUUGUUAUUUUGCAGACUUGCUCUCAGUUUUUAUUCUUGGCAGGUGAUUCUUCAUGAUAAUUUUUUGUAGAGGAACAUUUUUGCGAUGGGGCCUGGAACGGUGAUCGGUGGUGCUGGUGUCGGCAGUGCGGUACAAGGUCAGGAUGCGGGAUGGGACGGCCAUCCGUGUGAGGCAGUCGGCGGCGAGGGUUUGUGGCAUCACGAGGAGUGCCCGCGGAUUCAAGGUGUUGGCCCGAGACCUCCUACGAGGGAGGAGACGAUGUUAGUAUUUCCAUAGGAAAAAAACAAGAGAAGAAGAACAAGAACAACGACGGCAAUCUCGGGUUCCAGAACUCAGAUUUAUGACAAGGACACAAGCAAAUUUAUAGCAUCCGUUGUGAUGAUACAAGGGAAGUAAGCAUAGAUGCGCUCAACGUGAUGAUAGAUGGGAGAGCUCGGCCUAUGCUGCCAACUGAUCUGCAGCGGUGCAGAAGGAGAUUUCAAAAGCAGGGCAAGCGAGAGCGACUGUUCUAUUGAUGGUCAACGGGAGGGCUUGGCAAGAGAGAUUGAGGGAGCUCUACUACCUCGAUCUUGGCAUAGAACCUGAUGGCAUCAUGCCCAGGAAACUUCCUUCUUCAGUAUGUAUGGGGAUUUAUAUGACACCAAAAGAGAAGUCCGGCGUGUUUCUUGGUUCUAUGGAACCCCUCGACCGGAAGCAAAUAGAUCACAUCGCAAGUUGCUUGCCCAAUAUAAUCGUGCCGCAAGUUACCAACAUCGCGUGCUUAUACACCAUCGACUUUGCUGGAAAUCUAUCUGUCCGUGCUCCACCGUCUAUCGGAACUUCUUCUGCCCAUGCUACACCUGAGGUACAUACUACAGUCUCAUCAAUUAAUAAUACCCAAUUGCUUGUCUGUUGCCCAAUGCACUGCAGCUUAAUAUGCAAACCCUGAGCUUUGUUUAUUUGCAUUGAGCUUAUACUUCCUUGCCCCAAGGAGAAGGUUUCAUGCCCCCAGAAGUAGAAUACGUACAGACAGGCACCCAUCGGGAUCAAGAAACCAAAGUCUGGGCCCUGUUAACUACUCCCUCCGUUCCAAAAUAGAUGACCCAACUUUAUACUAACUUUGUACUAAAGUUAAUACAAAGUUGAGUCAUCUAUUUUGGAAUGGAGGGAGUACAAAGCAAGUCGAUGCCAGCAUACGUAUGACAAACUGAUGGGCCUGUCAGAGCGAACCCCUGGUUGAAAUUUGUCAAAAGACUGGGCGGUAAACUGAGUGGUAGUCUUAGUAUCUUAAUACACAACUUGCCUACUAUGGGAAUUGUGUUUAUGUUGUUAUGGGAUUAUGGAGGUAUGAUCUAAAAAAAUUAUGGAGUUACGAUCUAAAAAAGAACUAUGGAGUUGUGUGCAAAGAAAGGACAUAAUGUUUCUCAAAUUGCCCUUUGUAUCUCUAUGUUUUGCACUUUAUCAAAGGCGCAAUUAGUUGAGCUCUCAA